rnacentral:pre_miRNA from 1 species
AGCGCCAUUUCCAGAGCUAUAAACAGUCUCAUUGUCAUAGCUCUUUGAAUGGUACUGC